rnacentral:rRNA from 1 species
GCAAGUCGAGCGGAAACGAAAGUAGCUUGCUACUAGGCGUCGAGCGGCGGACGGGUGUGUAAUGCUUAGGAAUCUACCGAGUAGUGGGGGAUAGCCAUUGGAAACGAUGAUUCUUACCGCAUAUAACCUACGGGGGCAAGCAGGGGACCUUCGUGCCUUGCGCUAUUCGAUGAGCCUGAGUGAGAUUAGCUAGUUGGUGAGGUAAAGGCCUACCAAGGCGACGAUCUCUAGCUGGUCUGAGAGGAUGAUC